GUUGACCUCGAAUCAGGUAG
rnacentral:rRNA from 3 species